CUACAGUAUCGAGAAAGUCACUAACGAGUGAGCAGACAUCCAUGUAACUGCUCGUGUUGGUCAUGCUAGUGUUAGUUAUUCUCUAAUAACCAUCUGUACUCUCACUCCAGUGUCCUACACUAUAAAUUUCAGACUUAUCUGUCCAAUGGAAGCAAUCCAUGUACUAGUCUAUCUCGAUCAAUUAUCAUCUCCAUAAUGAUCC
rnacentral:lncRNA from 1 species